CCGUCGAUAGCUCAGUUGGUAGAGCGGUGGACUGUAGAGGCCUUGCUAUGGACAUCCAUAGGUCGCUGGUUCGAAUCCGGCUCGACGGA
rnacentral:tRNA from 1 species